rnacentral:lncRNA from 1 species
GAAAAACUUGUGUGGUAUUUGUACUUCUCCUGUGCAUCUAACCGAUACUUGUCCUAUUUUGCAUGAUGAAUUGAUCACUGAGUUGCCUCAAGCUUAUGCAGCAAACUUUUACAAUCAAGGCAACAAUCAGAACAGGUAUAACAACAUUCCUGACCUAUCCACCAAUAAAUACCACCCCAAUUGGAGGAACCAUCCCAACCUUCGAUAUGGAAACCAACAGCCAACCCAACCAGCAGCUAUCCCCCAAGCCACCAUUUC